AUUGAACGCUGGCGGCAGGCUUAACACAUGCGAGUCGAGCGGGGGAAGGUAGCCUGCUACCGGACCUAGCGGCGGACGGGUGAGUAAUGCUUAGGAAUCUGCCUAUUAGUGGGGGACAACAUCUCGAAAGGGAUGCUAAUACCGCAUACGUCCUACGGGAGAAAGCAGGGGAUCUUCGGACCUUGCGCUAAUAGACGAGCCUAAGUCGGAUUAGCUAGUUGGUGGGGUAAAGGCCUACCAAGGCGACGAUCUGUAGCGGGUCUGAGAGGAUGAUCCGCCACACUGUGACUGAGACACGGCCCAGACUCCUACGGGAGGCAGCAGUGGGGAAUAUUGGACAAUGGGGGGAACCCUGAUCCAGCCAUGCCGCGUGUGUGAAGAAGGCCUUAUGGUUGUAAAGCACUUUAAGCGAGGAGGAGGCUACUCUAGUUAAUACCUAGGGAUAGUGGACGUUACUCGCAGAAUUAGCACCGGCUAACUCUGUGCCAGCCGCCGCAGUAA
rnacentral:rRNA from 1 species